UUGUAGAGGAUGCUUUUGAUGCGGUGCCUUCCGAGUUCCCUGGAACGGGACGCCAUAGAGGGUGAGAGCCCCGUCUGGUUGGAUGCCAAAUCUCUGUAAAGCUCCUUCGACGAGUCGAGUAGUUUGGGAAUGCUGCUCUAAAUGGGAGGUAUAUGUCUUCUAAAGCUAAAUACCGGCCAGAGACCGAUAGCGCACAAGUAGAGUGAUCGGAAGAUGAAAAGCACUUUGAAAAGAGAGUUAAAAAGUAUUUGAAAUUGUUGAAAGGGAAACGUUUAUGACCAGACUUGGGCUUGGUUAAUCAUCUGGGGUUCUCCCCAGUGCACUUUUCCAGUCCAGGCCANCNUCAGUUUUCNCCGGGGGAUAAAGGCUUCGGGAAUGUGGCUCUCUCCGGNGAGUGUUAUAGCCCGUUGCGUAAUACCCUGUUGGG
rnacentral:rRNA from 1 species